GUGCAAGUAUAAACGCUAUAGAACCGUGAGACUAGCGAAUGGCUCAUUAAAUCAGUUAUAGUUUAUUUGAUGGUGUUUACUACGUGGAUAACCGUGGUAAUUCUAGAGCUAAUACAUGCAAAAGGUCCCGACUGCUUCGGAAGGGACGUAUUUAUUAGAUCCAAAACCAAUGCGGGUGUCGCUGCCUCGGCGGGGGCCCCGGUCUCUUGGUGAUUCAUGGUAACUGCUCGAAUCGUUUGGCCUCCGCGCCGGCGAUGGUUCAUUCAAGUUUCUGCCCUAUCAACUUUCGAUGGUAGGGUAUUGGCCUACCAUGGUUGCAACGGGUGACGGAGAAUUAGGGUUCGAUUCCGGAGAGGGAGCCUGAGAAACGGCUACCACAUCCAAGGAAGGCAGCAGGCGCGCAAAUUACCCAAUCCCGACUCGGGGAGGUAGUGACAAUAAAUAACAAUGCCGGUCCCUAUAGUGGUCCGGCAAUUGGAAUGAGUACAAUCCAAAUCCCUUAACGAGGAACAAUUGGAGGGCAAGUCUGGUGCCAGCAGCCGCGGUAAUUCCAGCUCCAAUAGCGUAUAUUAAAGUUGUUGCAGUUAAAAAGCUCGUAGUUGGAUUUCGGGGCCCCGGACGCUCGUUGCGUUGCCUGUUGGACUUGUCUGGCGGGUGCGUGGCGGUCGUCGGUCUCUGAGUCGGAUCGGUCCGCCGAGAGGCGUGUACUGACCGACGGCCCCUGUUGUCUCUCGGGUUACCCGCCUGCACUUAACUGCUGCGGACGGGAAGUUCGGGACGUUUACUUUGAACAAAUUAGAGUGUUCCAAGCAGGCCGGUUGCUUUGAAUACAUUAGCAUGGAAUAAUGGAAUAGGGCUGCGUGAUCUGUCGCUCUUGGGCGGCGGGUCCUCGUGUCCUAUUUUGUUGGUUUUCGGGACCGCAGUCAUGGUCAAGAGGGACAGUUGGGGGCAUUCGUAUUCAGUUGUCAGAGGUGAAAUUCUUGGAUUUACGGAAGACGAACAACUGCGAAAGCAUUUGCCAAGGAUGUUUUCAUUAAUCAAGAACGAAAGUUGGGGGUUCGAAGACGAUCAGAUACCGUCGUAGUCCCAACCAUAAACCAUGCCGGCUAGGGAUCGGCGGACGUCGGUAGCGACUCCGUCGGCACCUCUCGAGAAAUCCAAGCCUUUG
rnacentral:rRNA from 1 species